rnacentral:rRNA from 1 species
GACGAACGCUGGCGGCGUGCUUAACACAUGCAAGUCGAGCGGUAAGGCCCUUUCGGGGUACGACGAGCGGCGAACGGGUGAGUAACACGUGGGUGACCUGCCCUUAGCUCUGGGAUAAGCCUGGGAAACGUGGGUCUAAUACCGGAUAUGACUCCAUGACGCAUGUUGUGGGGUGGAAAGCCUUGUGCGGCUAGGGAUGGGCCCGCGGCCUAUCAGCUUGUUGAUGGGGUGAUGGCCUACCAAGGCGACGACGGGUAGCCGGCCUGAGAGGGCGACCGGCCACACUGGGACUGAGACACGGCCCAGACUCCUACGGGAGGCAGCAGUGGGGAAUCUUGCGCAAUGGGCGAAAGCCUGACGCAGCGACGCCGCGUGGGGA